rnacentral:rRNA from 1 species
UAAUUGCCUCGUAAUUGGAGGCUUGUUUGAAUGGUUUGACGAAGUAAUAAUGAAUAUCUAAUAUUUUAUUGAAAUUAGUUUGGUGGGUUCAGAAUCCACCAUGAUUUAAUUAGACGGGAAAGACCCCGGGGAUCUUUUAAUUUUGCCUGGGGCGGGGUGUUAGUAUUUCACUAAUANUUUUGUUCCUUAAUUUUAGAUUAAUGGUUUAAGUUACCCCGGGGAUAACAGUGUAAUAGUUAAUUAGAGAUCUUAUCGAAUUAAUUGUUUGCCACCUCGAUGUUGACUUAGGUUUUAUCUUAGGCGCAGUAGUUUAAGUUUUGGGUCUGUUCGACCAUACAAACCUCCAUGAGUUGAGUUAAGACCGGUGUGAGCCAGGUCGGUUCUUAUCUAUUGGUGAGAUUUAUUAGUACGAAAGGACCGUAAGUCUUUUUAUUAAGUAUGUAGCUGUAUCAGGUCUUAGCUUUGCAAAAGCUAAUGUGAAAUUUUGAAUUUCCAUGCUUUGUGUGUUUAACUAUGGCAAUAAGAAGUAUUUACUAUAUUAGCUGCAUAAAUUAUUUUUAUAUGUGUUUAAAUUAGUUUUUGUUAAGUUUAUUAGCAGUUAGUUUUUUAUUUAGAUGAAAGUCUUUUAAGAGUAUAGUAUGUAAAGGGGAGAGGACACAGUGCCAGCAUCUGCGGUUAUUCUGUUUUCUUUGCUUUUUAGUAGAUUGUACUUGAGUAUUUAUAUAUAAGUUUAGGUGAAAUUUACUUAUUAUUAUGUUGUAUACUCAGUUUUUAGUAAAUAAUUUUAAAUGACAGGGAUUAGAUANCCCCAUUAAUAAAUUAUAUUACUAUAUCUUAGUUUUAACUAAAAUAGUUUGGC